AAGUCAAACAAAAUGAACCGGGAAGAGUUGUUGUAUACCGAGAGAUAUAUGGAACUUCGCGCGCACUUCAAUGAAUUGAAUAUUUUAACGGUCCUCUUAUUCUUUUCUUCCUAUCUAUUGGUUUCUUUUCUUUUCUUUUGUUUUAUUUCAUUUUUUUUCUCUAUACUUUUCUCUUAUCUUUUGGCUCAUUAUUCUCUUUUUAUUCCUUUUCCUAGGUAAUUUUUUUCUCCCUCCCACCCCUUUCUUUACUAUCUUUGUUUCAAUCGUUAAACCUUUGAUAAAUAGGAAAAGUACCGAUGAGUAUAUAACUUUUUUUUCUUUCUUUUUUUUUUUUUUUUUUUUUGAAGCGAACUCGAAUAUUUCGGGUCGAUUUUGUUCUUCCUUUUUAAAUAUUACAUUUCUACGAUAUCCAUAAGAAUUUUUAGAUGUAUAUAGUUGUUCUUUUGUAAUUUCUUUUUGUAUAUAAAAUAACUGAGAGAUGAGUACAAAUAAUGUAUUAUAGAAAAUAUGUUACAAAAUUAAUGAUAAAUUAGAAACUUGCAAAAUAAGAAACUCAAUCUCUUUAAUUAUCUAUAACUUUCUUACGUGUAAUGAACAAAUUUUUUUAAAUUACGAAAGAUUCCAAUUUUUCUAUAUUAAAAUAGAUUAAAAUAAGAAAAAAAAUUAGAAGAAAAAGAAAAAGAAAGAAAAAGAGGAAAAAAAAAGAAACGAAAAAGAAAAAAAAAAGGAAAAAAGAGCAGAGAAGAGACGAUAAAACAAAAAAAAGAAAAAAAAAAGAAAGAAAGAAAGAAAAAAGAAAUUAAAAGGAUCCGAAACAAUCGAGUUCAAUCAUAACUUUUCAAGACCACUACAAAAUUCUAGAAUUAAUAAUACAUUAAAUAUUUUUCUUAUAAGAUGCAAAUCAAAAGAUCAUGUCGAACCGAAGAAAUCUCGGACAAGGCGAUUUUUUUGUCCAAGUCGGAACGGUGCCUCGAGUCCCUUUGAUUCGUUCAGCGAUCGAGCAAGGAUGCGGGGCGACGAAGGAGAGGUGUGGUGCGCUUGGAAAUUUUGUUAUUUGCUUACUCGGCAGCCUGUGUUUUUAGUAUUAUUAAUCACAGAGUAAUCGGUCGGUCUUAAUUAGUGUCGAUACCAGACAGGGUUGUAAAAUGACGUAAUUAGUAGAGUUUGAAUGCAAACAGAGAAAAGGGUGGAUUAAGGGAAUGAGAGGGUUAAGGGUGAAGGAGGUAAAAGUAGAUAAGGUCGAUCGGUUAACGUUCUCGUUUCGAAUUCGAGGCUUCGCCGAUUGAAAGGACUUUGCCUUUGAGUUCUCGAGAACGAAACUGAAAUGUUUUGAUUUCAAUCGAU